rnacentral:lncRNA from 1 species
AGUGCUCAGAGGGACUUCCCCUGAAGGGAGUAUAUACUCUCCUAUUGUCUUUUUUUGGGGGGGGGAAGAUUAAUCCUGACCUAACAUCUGCUGCCAGUCCUCCUCUUUUUGCUGAGGAAGACUGGCCCUGAGCUAGCAUCUGUGCCCAUCCUCCUCUACUUUAUAUGUACGAUGCCUACCACAGCAUGGCUUGCCAAACAUUACCAAGUCCGCACCCGGGAUCCGAACAGGCAAAUCCCGGGCCACAGAAGUGGAACAUGCGCACUUUGCUGCGCCGCCAGGCCGGCCCUAUUGUCUUAAGGAAUGCUUAGAUUCAUACACAUCUGGAAGGAAAUUGUAUAAUUCUCUUUAAUUUCUUUUCAACCAUAACAAUUUCCCCAAUCUGCCCUGAAGAUUAUGGAAACUGAAAGUCAACAGUAGGCUGUGUUGAUGCCCACAGGCGCUCUGGAGAUUUGGCAAAUGAAACUUGUCAUCAUUGUUGCAAUCAAAGGAGAGUCAGGAAGAUGUAAAUCAUUAAUUUUGAAGAAAGAAAGAGACUGUGGGAUUUAUCUUGCUUGAGAAGAACCAGAUUUACUGAGGCAUGGUUUCGUGUAUGCCCAUUUUAAUUGAAUUAAAAAAGCCUGAUGGAUUUUUCUAUAAAAAGCAUUUACUUAGGGUAUUCCCUUGGCAAGGUCAUGUUCCAAAGAGCCCAAGGGAAGUGGACCCAAGAGAAAUGGUUUGAACAUAUGUUGUAGAAGGGCAAGCUGCAGGAGAGAGAGAGAGAGAGAGUCAAGGCUGGGAGAGUGAAUUUAGAUGGAGCUGUGUGGAGGCUACAGAGGAAAAUCUGCUGCUUUGAGGGAAGUAACAGUCAGGGCAGGGAAGUUGGAGCAGGUUUACAUGCAUUCCCUUUGCCCUGAUGGUUCAUACCCAUGUAUUCUCCAGAUCUGCCAGGUUGUCUCCCAGCAGAGGAGCACAGAGAAAGCUUCACCCCAGGAAGAGCGGAAACUGACUCCUAACCAGUUCCCUAUCUUCACUAUGGCUUUUGGUAUUUCCCACUUCAUCUGGAGAUGCCUGACCGGAUUUGAAUUCAGCUGAAACUAAUUUCCCCCAACCUGACACUUAGGCACAUACCCUCUUAGGUAUUCUAAACCUUCAAGUAUUUAAACAACUUUUUUCUCUGACUGAGCCAAAGCAGUAUUCCUAACUUCAUGUUUCAGUUCUACAACAUUCCUCAAAUUCCAUUCUGCUGAUUGCUUAUAACCACAAGUAUUCUCCUUGGUAUGCU